GAGGCUGUGAUAUCCACACAUUGUUGAGAUGCUAAGGAGUUCCUAUGGGGAAAAGGUGGCUAGCAUUCAGAUCAUCUUUGAAGCUCAAGGACCCAAUGCUGACAGCCACCCAGCUUCAGUGCACCCUUUGUUUGCUGGUUAUUUCCCAUUUCACUUGGGAUAAAUAGUUAUAAGAACAACUUGAGAGGUAUAUUGGUCUACACAAAACAGGAGAAACAUGGAGUAGUCCCUGGAGAAGUAAACAAGGGAAGAGGAAGACAGUGUGAAGACACUGGAGAAAGAUGGCCAUCUAUAAGCCGAGGAGGAAGACAUUAGAAGAAGCCCUGCCAACACAAGGAUCCUGGACUUCUA